rnacentral:rRNA from 1 species
UACAGAGGUCUCAAGCGUUGUCCGGAAUUAUUGGGCGUAAAGGGCUCGUAGGCGGUUCGUCACGUCGGGAGUGAAAACUCGGAGCUUAACUGAGGACGUGCGGAAGAAACUGCAAGGCUCGAGUCCGGGAGAGGGGGGUGGAAUUCCCAGUGUAGCGGUGAAAUGCGUAGAUAUUGGGAGGAACACCGGUGGCGAAGGCGGCCCCCUGGACCAGCACUGACGCUGAGGCACGAAAGCGUGGGGAGCAAACAGG